UAGCUAGUUGGUGAGGUAAAGGCUUACCAAGGCGACGAUCUGUAGCGGGUCUGAGAGGAUGAUCCGCCACACUGGAACUGAGACACGGUCCAGACUCCUACGGGAGGCAGCAGUGGGGAAUUUUGGACAAUGGGGGCAACCCUGAUCCAGCCAUGCCGCGUGAGUGAAGAAGGCCUUCGGGUUGUAAAGCUCUUUCGGCCGGGAAGAAAUCGCAUGGGCCAAUACCCUGUGUGGAUGACGGUACCGGAAUAAGAAGCACCGGCUAACUACGUGCCAGCAACCGCGGUAAUACGUAGGGUGCGAGCGUUAAUCGGAAUUACUGGGCGUAAAGCGUGCGCAGGCGGUUUUGUAAGACAGGCGUGAAAUCCCCGGGCUUAACCUGGGAACUGCGUUUGUGACUGCAAGGCUAGAGUACGGCAGAGGGGGGUGGAAUUCCACGUGUAGCAGUGAAAUGCGUAGAGAUGUGGAGGAACACCAAUGGCGAAGGCAGCCCCCUGGGUCGAUACUGACGCUCAUGCACGAAAGCGUGGGUAGCAAACAGGAUUAGAUACCCUGGUAGUCCACGCCCUAAACUAUGUCAACUAGGUGUUGGGUGGGUAAAACCAUUUAGUACCGUAGCUAACGCGUGAAGUUGACCGCCUGGGGAGUACGGCCGCAAGGUUAAAACUCAAAGGAAUUGACGGGGACCCGCACAAGCGGUGGAUGAUGUGGAUUAAUUCGAUGCAACGCGAAAAACCUUACCUACCCUUGACAUGCCAGGAACUUGCCAGAGAUGGCUUGGUGCCCGAAAGGGAGCCUGGACACAGGUGCUGCAUGGCUGUCGUCAGCUCGUGUCGUGAGAUGUUGGGUUAAGUCCCGCAACGAGCGCAACCCUUGUCGUUAAUUGCCAUCAUUUAGUUGGGCACUUUAACGAGACUGCCGGUGACAAACCGGAGGAAGGUGGGGAUGACGUCAAGUUCUCAUGGCCCUUAUGGGUAGGGCUUCACACGUCAUACAAUGGUCGGUACAAAGGGUUGCCAAGCCGCGAGGCGGAGCCAGUCCCAGAAAGCCGAUCGUAGUCCGGAUUGCAGGCUGCAACUCGCCUGCAUGAAGUCGGAAUCGCUAGUAAUCGUGGAUCAGCAUGUCACGGUGAAUACGUUCCCGGGUCUUGUACACACCGCCCGUCACACCAUGGGAGCGGGUUCCGCCAGAAGUAGGUAGCCUAACCGCAAGGGGGGCGCUUACCACGGCGGGGUUCGUGACUGGGGUGAAGUCGUAACAAGGUAGCCGUAGGGGAACCUGCGGCUG
rnacentral:rRNA from 1 species